UUGGGGAAGGGGAGUUUGUAGGGCAGGCAACGUGGGAAGGGGGAGCUAAGGUUGGAAAAGGGAUUCUGACGAAUCAGGCGAGGGGGUUUCCUCUCCCCACAUACUGGGUGGUGUUGGUGAGCUUAGGACUCUCGGACGUUACAUGCUUUUCAUGCAGCGAGCGUGUAUCCGUGAAACUGCAUAAACAUCGGUGGCCACCCCGUGUGAAGCAGAAGGGGCUGAUUCACACGUUGGGUGUUGGGGUUUGCUUGCUUUUUAGGUGUAGCCUAACGGCGUGGCUUCUUUUUUAAGCGUACAUCCUAAAAUAAAAUGUGUGAACAAGACAGCUUUGUGAUCAAAGACACGGAUGUCCUAUAUGGUACACUCAUGUUUGGCCUAGGUCUCUCUAAUAGCCAAGCUAGGCAUGGCAUAACAUGUGUUUCCCCUUUUAAAGACAAAUCUUUAAUGUAGUUCUGCAGCUGUGAGCUCACAACUUGAUUGGAGCAGCUGUUGGGCAGGAAGGGGGUGCUUUUCACUUGCCCUGUGCCCCCCUUUCUUAAAAUAAAAAUCCCCCUCCUCAAGCUGCUUGCCCUCCUCAAGGGGGGAAAUAUAACAACUACCCGGAUGUUUUCUCACACAAGCAGAAGAGCAACUUGGAGGACCAGUAAUGGCAGGAGGGGAAAAGAUUUAUCACUUUCUCCCCUGUUGCUAGUAGCCAAGCGGAGAAGUGACUUGCCUAGGGAGCAAGAGGUUGUUAGUGCAAAUCCCUGCUGGAAACACUUCUAUCAAGCAGCAGCGAUAUAGGAAGGUGCUGAAAGGGAGGAAGCAAUGGUAAACCUCUCCUGUAUUCUGCCAAGAAAAACCACAUGGCUCUGUAGUCGCCAGGAGUCAACACCAACUCGAUGCCACCAGUAUGAUCUUUCUUUCCCCCUGCUGCUAUGGCUCAGUUUAAAGCCCUCGUGAUCACAUUCAAAUUGAAAAACCUAGUUCGUCCAUGAGCUGGAGGCACCAAGGCUCUGAAGCAAUGCAAAGGGGUUGUGAAAAUUGAUCCAGCAUCCAUUCAUGUCUGGGUUCAGAGGACCUCUCACAUUUAUAGUGCCACUCUGCUGUUUGGAAGGCUUGAGGCAAGUAGCAUAUAUAUCUCAUGUAUACACACAGAGAGACGCUAAUCUCCACUUUCCCUGUCACCAGACUUAGGCUGAGCAUAACAAGCAAUGGAAAGCAAGGGAUUUGCAGGCCUGAAAGCAGGGGGGAAAGAAAGGAAGGGGCCUGCUAAGGCACCAUGCUUUUCCAGUGACUCACGUGCUAAGCUGAGUUAAGGGAAGGGAAGCCCUAUGCUUGUGAGAAUGGCUGAAGUCAUUCAGCAAAUGGCCUUUAAUUAGUCAUCUCUUCUUGGCAGUCAGAACAAUCACACCACUUGCUCAUUCAUUUUAUUUUUUUGGCACAGCUGCACUUUAACAAAAUAGUGGAAUAAAUAAAAAAAUAUUUGUGCAUUCACGCUCUAGUGCAAAAGUGAAAAAAGUCUUAUGUCUGGCUUUGGGGGAAGGAAUCAUGUAGUUGGACAUUAUAAUGGCUGUGUAACCUGGAAAUGUGGGGCAAACAAUGCAGAAAGGCACCAACCACAACAGCAAUUGCUUCACAUACCACUUGCCCCACCACAUACAUCAGUAGCGCUUUGUUAUGCCACAUUAGACAGGCUGGUGCUACAACUGCAUUUAAAGUCAGAAAAAUUGCCACAAAUCACGUCUUAAUACAAGUUGUUCUGGUAAGAACUAAUCUACCUACUUUCUUUUCACUAUAACCUUAUUUGAUAAUUGCCAUUCUCACAAGUUAACCUACUUCAGCCUUAAACGAUCACAUGUUCCCCAUCUUGAACUGGGGUGGAUGACACAUUACAAACUAUGCCGUUAAGAUGUCGCUAUGUGUCACUGACUACAAUUGUACCAAAUUUGGUCCAAAUCGGUUCCCAUCUGCGCCUCAAAAUUCCACACAUCUGCCAUCUUGAAUAGAGGUAGAUGACAUCAUCACAAACUGUGCAUUUGGGGUGUCCCUUACUGCUGUACCAAAUUUGGUCCAAAUCAGUUUCCACUUGCACCUCAAAAUGUUCACGUGUCCACCAUCUUGAAUCAGGAUGGAUAAUAUGAUAAUUACAUGUUAUGCCCAUGAGCCAUUCCUAUGUGUCCCUACACCUGUAGCAACUUUGGUUCAAAUUGGUUAGGCAGUUCACAAGUUAGACCAAUUACAUCUCAAAUGUUCACAUGUUCACCAUCUUGAAUUGGGGUGGAUGACAUCACAAACCACACCAUUGAGGUGUCCCUGUGUAUCACUCACUACAACUGUGCCAAAUUUGGUUCAGAUCGUUUAGGCGGUCCACAAGUUUGCCACUUUCACUUCAAAUGUUUAUGCAUCCACCAUUUUGAAUUGUAGUGUUUGACAUCAUCGCAAACUACACCACUGAAGUGUGCCUAUGUGUCGGAAAUGGAGGUAGGAAUACAUUAGCUGCAACUUUUGAGUAGUCUUUUAAGAGCUUUAUGCACAGCUCAUUGCAAUAAUCAACCUGUGAUGAUGGUACAUUCUGAUAUCAAAAUGUGAGGAAAAAGUGUCCUAACCUCACAAGAAGCAGGUGAAGAGUGGUUUAACACUGUAAGCAUAAUGGGAAUAUUUCUUUUCCCGGUUGCUGCUGCCAGGGACAUCUCAAUGGGUUAUCCCCUCUCACUAGCUCCAAGGCAGGACAGAUCUUAUUAGUUAGAACAAGAAGAACAUGCCCACUUGACGCUGAGGGGGAUAACCCCACCCCAGUUCUUUCUGUCCUCGCCAGCUCCAGGCAGCAAUCCUUUGUUUCUCUCAGUCUUUUUCCUCUGAAAUUGUUCCUUACUCCGUUUUUUCUUUGCCUAGCGCUCCACUUCUUCAGCCUCCACCCUUUUUCUUUCUCUGUUGCAUGGAGCUUGGUUCUCAGUGCAGGAUGAUCCUGCUAGCACGUGGGGCCCGCCAAGGGUCAUUUGGUCCGGUCGAGUUGAGGCUGUUUGGAGUUCCUCCCCCAGUGGGACCGCCAUAUCUGGCAGUCUCCGCACUGUUCCCCUGACUCUGCAGAGCCCCUUCCUCGACAGUGGUCAUGGCCGUGGAACAGCCACCUGUGCCACUACGGGCUCAGCAUCGGCAACAACCGACUCAGAGCCACCCACGCUGUUUGCUACCGGGACUGCUGUGAGUCUCCUGCCAUCAGGCUGCGAGACCUGCUCUUCGGCGGUCCAGUGCGCUCUCCCUGCUUUUCCGAUGGGGCAGAACCUUAUUCAAGGCGGCAGUGAGCUUUUCACAUACCCCUUUGGCGACCCCUCUGGGUCUGCGUGGGCAGGUUAUGUCUAAGGGGGACUCCCCAAAUGCACUAGGGGACCAGAGUGCCAGAGUGACCCUAAUCCAGGCACCUUUCUCACCCUCCCUAAGGUGGUUCUCUCAGAAUGGCAGGCCUGGUUUCUCAAUGCAUUGUGGACACUGUUCACCAAAUUAGACCGGCCAAAAAAGAGAAAAAGAGAUCCAAAAAGAAGAAAAGGGCUAGCUCUUCCUCAGACGCUUCUUCGUCAAGUGACUCAGUUAACCCACCACCUAAAAAGGCAAAAGCCAUGCAGAAGCAUUUAAAGAGCCAAAAAUCUCCAAAGAACAAAAGGAGUAAGUCACCUCAUUCAUCUGACAUAUCUGAUCAUGACUCUGGGGAUCCUAAGCUUCACAACCCUAGGCCUUUAGUUCCCCCAAAGAAACAUUCUGGUGCCACUCCAUUGCAUGAACUGGACUCUGAUUUUGAAGAGGCCUCUAAUAGGCCUGUGAGCAUGGACCAGGAGUAGGACCCCCUUCCCGAUAGGAGGGAGAGUGGUCGGGGGGCGGGGGAGAACAUGAAAUGUCUAAUGUUUCCCAAUGUUUAUUUGUUGCAGAGGAUUUUAACCCUCUCAUGUCCAGGGUCAUUAAAGCAAUAGGUCUCCAAGCAAAAGCUCCUGUUGAAUCCAGCUCAUCUGAGAAAGGUGAUCUAGUAUUUCCCUGACCUAAACCAAAGGACAUGCUUUUGCACCUUCCUGACUUAUUUGCGGAGGUGGUCAAGCAGGAAUGGCUUCUCCCGGCUGCUAACAGAAAACCCAUGACCAUUGCUAACCAUUUUUACUCUUUCGAGCAGGAGGCCUCUGACUUGUUAAAAACUCGUAACACAUAUUAUUAUUAUUAUUAUUAUUAUUAUUAUUAUUAUUAUUAUUAUUAUUUACAUUUAUAUCCCACUCUUCCUCCAAAGAGCCCAGAGCGGUGUACUACAUACUUAGGUUCCUCCUCACAACAACCCUGUGAAGUAGAUUAAACCAUGAUGUCCCGACCGCACAACUGGUGUCUGGUUCCCUCAUCCCUAGGGACAGCAAGAUGGCAUUAAAGGACUCAGCAGGCAAAAAGGCGGAGUUGGCGUUCAAACAAGUCCAUGACAACUCAUCCUUUGUUACUUGAGCAGCAGCAGCUUGUGGCUGGAUGACCUCCUCAAUGAGCCUACCUCUGAUUCUGUCAAGCUGGAUCAACAAUUGGUCAAGCUGCAAAAAGCCCAAGCUUUCAAUGCAGAUGCCACGUUAGACUCUAUCAGGUUUUCAUCUAGAAUUUUGGUGGCCUCAGUUCUUGGCUGAAAGCACUUAUGGCUUAAAAACUGGCAAGUGGAUAACAUCUCCAAAAACAAUCUCACUGCAGCACCUUAUGACUCUACUAAGCUGUUCGGAGAAGUGGCCUUGAAGGAUAUCCUUGUUGAGUCGAAAGACAAAUGAAAGACUAUGCAGUCUACCACUCGCAAGCCUGGACCGCCCCUUCUUCAAACGAAUUUUUCAGCAGUUCCAGCCCUUUCAGUGCUCCUGCCCCUUCAGGGGCCGGGACAGAUUUUCCAGGAGUCAGAGAGGUUCCUGGGGCAGACAACGCUUCACCUACAGGGGCUUUGCUAACUCUAAGCAACAGUCCAGGCAGGCAAAGCAACAGAAAUCACAACCGUGACUUGUGAUUCACCAGGCUGGGAGGCCAUCUGAUGGAAUUUCUGCACACCUGGAAUCUUCUACGACAGACAACUGGGUGCUAAAGAUCAUACAGUACGGAUACAAGAUAGAGUUGAACGCCCCCUCUCCCCACAGCUUCCUUCCAACACUAAGACCACGCUCGGUCGCAAAACAUUUGGAGAUGUUGCAAGCAAUUCCUCAUCUACUGGAGAUAGGAGCGGUGGAAACAGUCACUCCGUACCAGAUGGGAGGGGGCAUCUAUUCUAUCUUGUUUACCGUUCCAAAAAAGGAUGGGUCCAGAAGGGCAGUGCUAGACCUGAAAUUCCUGUACAAAUGGGUCAGGCACAAGCGUUUUUGUAUGGAAGCCUUAAGGUCAGUAUCGGAGGCCCUACGCCACCUGGACCUCUUAACAUCGAUAGACUUGAAGGAAGCCUACCUUCAUGCUCCGAUACUCUCGGAAAAUCGAAGAUUCCUUCGUUUCAAGUAUGUUGGCUCCCAUUAUCAUGCCAACCUGGGAGCUCAAGGCUGAAAAUCUGUGUUGUCAUGCUGUUCUACUCAGAUUCCACUAUUGGAAUUAAUUAUUUUUUAAAAAUUUGGUCAUGUUCUCACAAUGACAAGGAGCACCGUUAAAGAGUUAACUGGGAUUGCUGAGUCCCUCUUGCUCCUCUAGUGUGUGAUGUGAGAACCCAGAAUUUGGUGGCAAUUUUCAUUCAAACUACUGUGGCAUUUAACCACAACAGUUUUACUGGGAUGGCCCAGAAAUUCUGGGUUCUCACGUCAUGCUCCAUGGAAGCAUGUGGGGCUCAGUGACAGUAUUCCCUCUAACAGGGAUUCCCAGAUGUUGUUGACUACGACUCCCAUAACCCCAAGCAAAAGCCAUUGCAGGUGGGGAUUCUGGGAGUUGUGGUCAACAACAUCUGGGAAUCCCUGUUAGAGGGCAUACUGCUCAGUGAGAUGAGAACACGACCUUUGUUACAGUCACAUAAUCAACCACAAUAAAUUUAACAAUUGAACAAA